rnacentral:rRNA from 1 species
UUAAGCAUAUCAAUAAGCGGAGGAAAAGAAACCAACAGGGAUUACCUCAGUAACGGCGAGUGAAGCGGUAACAGCUCAAAUUUGAAAGCUAGCUCUUUUAGGGUUCGCAUUGUAAUUUGUAGAAGAUGCUUCGGGUGUGGCCCCGGUCUAAGUUCCUUGGAACAGGACGUCAUAGAGGGUGAGAAUCCCGUAUGUGACUGGGUGCCUUCGCUCAUGUGAAGCUCUUUCGACGAGUCGAGUUGUUUGGGAAUGCAGCUCAAAAUGGGUGGUAAAUUUCAUCUAAAGCUAAAUAUUGGCCAGAGACCGAUAGCGCACAAGUAGAGUGAUCGAAAGAUGAAAAGCACUUUGGAAAGAGAGUUAAACAGUACGUGAAAUUGUUGAAAGGGAAGCGCUUGCAACCAGACUUGCGCGCUGAUGAUCAUCCGGGCUUCUGCCCGGUGCACUCGUCUGCGCUCAGGCCAGCAUCGGUUUCGGUGGUGGGAUAAAGGCCUUGGGAAUGUAGCUCCUCUCGGGGAGUGUUAUAGCCCUCGGUGCAAUGCCGCCUACCGGGACCGAGGACCGCGCUUCGGCUAGGAUGCUGGCGUAAUGGUUGUAAGCGACCCGUCUUGAAACACGGACCAAGGAGUCUAACAUCUAUGCGAGUGUUUGGGUGUCAAACCCAUACGCGUAAUGAAAGUGAACGGAGGUGAGAACCCUUAAGGGUGCAUCAUCGACCGGUCCUGAUGUCUUCGGAUGGAUCUGAGUAAGAGCAUAGCUGUUGGGACCCGAAAGAUGGUGAACUAUGCGUGAAUAGGGUGAAGCCAGAGGAAACUCUGGUGGAGGCUCGCAGCGGUUCUGACGUGCAAAUCGAUCGUCAAAUUUGCGUAUAGGGGCGAAAGACUAAUCGAACCAUCUAGUAGCUGGUUCCUGCC